GAUGAACGCUGGCGGCGUGCCUAAUACAUGCAAGUAGAACGCUGAAGGAAGGAGCUUGCUCUUUCCGGAUGAGUUGCGAACGGGUGAGUAACGCGUAGGUAACCUGCCUGGUAGCGGGGGAUAACUAUUGGAAACGAUAGCUAAUACCGCAUAACAGUAGAUGUUGCAUGAUAUCUACUUAAAAGGUGCAAUUGCACCACUACCAGAUGGACCUGCGUUGUAUUAGCUAGUUGGUGAGGUAACGGCACACCAAGGCGACGAUACAUAGCCGACCUGAGAGGGUGAUCGGCCACACUGGGACUGAGACACGGCCCAGACUCCUACGGGAGGCAGCAGUAGGGAAUCUUCGGCAAUGGACGGAAGUCUGACCGAGCAACGCCGCGUGAGUGAAGAAGGUUUUCGGAUCGUAAAGCUCUGUUGUAAGAGAAGAACGAGUGUGAGAGUGGAAAGUUCACACUGUGACGGUAUCUUACCAGAAAGGGACGGCUAACUACGUG
rnacentral:rRNA from 1 species